rnacentral:lncRNA from 1 species
AGAAAGACGAAUCUUUGUGGGCGGACGAUGCCCUUAUGGCUUUGGCUGCAUCUACUUCUACAUCCACCAAAUCAUCUGCAUCUACAUCAGCUGAUGAUGAUGAAGAUGAUGUUAAUAUUCCCUGCUGUUGCUGCUGUUGCCUCCUCCUGUAAGCCAUUUCUUUUUUCCUAACUCCUAUUCUAAUUUGUUUGCACAAUUCAUCAACUCGAUCUUAGUCUUGCUCUACUUUUGUUGUUGUCGUAUUUGUUGUUCCUUGCUGCUUCAAUCUCCCUUUCGAAUUUGGAUUAAACCUGUCGUCUCAUCUCUCACUCACUCUGCUAUCUGUAUUUUGAAUCGUGUAUUGGAUUAUGUAGGUUCUGUUGUGGCCACUCAGCCGUCGGCGACGUCAACGCUCUACGCCCACCAUUUUUCAUCUAAUAAAAUUCUACAGUCCACACCCAGUCCUAUUCUGCUUUACUUGAUUUCAACUGCAGCUGAUGCAGCUUGCAACAGCCCAU